GGGUUGUGAGGUUAAGCGACUAAGCGUACACGGUGGAUGCCCUGGCAGUCAGAGGCGAUGAAGGGCGUGCUAAUCUGCGAUAAGCGCCGGUAAGGUGAUAUGAACCGUUAUAACCGGCGAUACCCGAAUGGGGAAACCCAGUGUGACUCGUCACACUAUCAUUAACUGAAUCCAUAGGUUAAUGAGGCGAACCGGGGGAACUGAAACAUCUAAGUACCCCGAGGAAAAGAAAUCAACCGAGAUUCCCCCAGUAGCGGCGAGCGAACGGGGAGGAGCCCAGAGCCUGAAUCAGCAUGUGUGUUAGUGGAAGCGUCUGGAAAGGCGCGCGAUACAGGGUGACAGCCCCGUACACAAAAGCGCAUGUGCUGUGAGCUCGAUGAGUAGGGCGGGACACGUGGUAUCCUGUCUGAAUAUGGGGGGACCAUCCUCCAAGGCUAAAUACUCCUGACUGACCGAUAGUGAACCAGUACCGUGAGGGAAAGGCGAAAAGAACCCCGGCGAGGGGAGUGAAAAAGAACCUGAAACCGUGUACGUACAAGCAGUGGGAGCCCCACCACUAAGCCAGUGGUGAACUCCACAUACGCAUCCUUUGCUGAGGAUACGGUUAACGGAGCGAAAGCGACGUUCAACCGCAAAAGAAGCAGAGGGGGCUUAGUGGUGGGGUGACUGCGUACCUUUUGUAUAAUGGGUCAGCGACUUAUAUUCUGUAGCAAGGUUAACCGCAUAGGGGAGCCGGAGGGAAACCGAGUCUUAACCGGGCGUUAAGUUGCAGGGUAUAGACCCGAAACCCGGUGAUCUAGCCAUGGGCAGGUUGAAGGUUGGGUAACACUAACUGGAGGACCGAACCGACUAAUGUUGAAAAAUUAGCGGAUGACCUGUGGCUGGGGGUGAAAGGCCAAUCAAACCGGGAGAUAGCUGGUUCUCCCCGAAAGCUAUUUAGGUAGCGCCUCGUGAAUUCAUCUCCGGGGGUAGAGCACUGUUUCGGCUAGGGGGCCAUCCCGGCUUACCAACCCGAUGCAAACUGCGAAUACCGGAGAAUGUUAUCACGGGAGACACACGGCGGGUGCUAACGUCCGUCGUGAAGAGGGAAACAACCCAGACCGCCAGCUAAGGUCCCAAAGUCAUGGUUAAGUGGGAAACGAUGUGGGAAGGCCCAGACAGCCAGGAUGUUGGCUUAGAAGCAGCCAUCAUUUAAAGAAAGCGUAAUAGCUCACUGGUCGAGUCGGCCUGCGCGGAAGAUGUAACGGGGCUAAACCAUGCAC
rnacentral:rRNA from 1 species